AUCUCAUAAGGCUAAAUACUCUUACUAACCGAUAGCGCAUAGUACCGUGAGGGAAAGGUGAAAAGAACCCCUGGAGGGGAGUGAAAUAGAACCUGAAAUUGUGUGCUUACAAGCGGUCAGAGCCAGUAAUGGUGAUGGCGUGCCUUUUGGAGAAUGAUCCUGCGAGUUACGUUAAACGGCGAGGUUAAGUAUUACGGAGCCGAAGGGAAACCAAGUCUUAAUAGGGCGAUUUAGUCGUUUGGCGUAGACGCGAAACCUGGUGAUCUAAACCUGUCCAGGAUGAAGCUGUGGUAAGACACAGUGGAGGUCCUAACCCACCGCCGUUGAAAAGUUGGGGGAUGAGGUAGGUUUAGGGGUGAAAAGCCAAUCGAACCAGGAGAUAGCUCGUUCUCUCCGAAAUGCAUCUAGGUG
rnacentral:rRNA from 1 species